GACGAACGCUGGCGGCGUGCUUAACACAUGCAAGUCGAACGGAAAGGCCCUGCUUUUGUGGGGUGCUCGAGUGGCGAACGGGUGAGUAACACGUGAGUAACCUGCCCUUGACUUUGGGAUAACUUCAGGAAACUGGGGCUAAUACCGGAUAGGAGCUCCUGCUGCAUGGUGGGGGUUGGAAAGUUUCGGCGGUUGGGGAUGGACUCGCGGCUUAUCAGCUUGUUGGUGGGGUAGUGGCUUACCAAGGCUUUGACGGGUAGCCGGCCUGAGAGGGUGACCGGCCACAUUGGGACUGAGAUACGGACCAGACUCAUACGGGAGGCAGCAGUGGGGAAUAUUGCACAAUGGGCGGGAGCCUGAUGCAGCAACGCCGCGUGCGGGAUGACGGCCUUCGGGGUGUAAACCGCUUUCGCCUGUGACGAAGCGUGAGUGACGGUAAUGGGUAAAGAAGCACCGGCUAACUACGUG
rnacentral:rRNA from 1 species